UGGAAAUAUGUUUAAAAGAAAUAUGAUUCCGUAUGAUGAUAUUAAACUGAGAAUAACUGAUAAAAGCCAAAUCUGAACUUUAAUAAUAUCUAGAUCAUGAGUUUAAGGCCCUAUAAAGCCCAUUCGGGCCUACCCACUUUUGUUAACUGGCCAGCCGCUCACGCUUUGUGUUAGUAUAUUUGUAAAGGUCACCGGCUAUUCUUUUGUUUUAGUCAACCACCAAGGAGCCCCGGGCAGAGGGACAAGCAUAACAAUGCUGUCACGCAGCACCCACACGAAGAAGCAAAACAUUCAGCCACGUGCUUAAGCGCUUCUGGGCAAUAAAUAAAAAUUUUCCGUGUUUUUAAACAUUUCACACACAAAGUCCAUUCAAAUUAUUAAUUUACUGAAACCAAAACAAAAAGCAGAGAACAAUCAACAAUUCAACCAAUUUGAACGAGUGCACAAAAAUAAUUUCGCGGAGCUUACAUACAAAAAAAUGUAAACAAAACCAACAAGGAACGAGGGGUAUCCGAAAAUGUUUCUGAGCGUGGAAAGUCUUAAUACUCUUCUUGAGAUACUUUUUAUAACUCCUUAAUUAUUCUAUAAAAAUUGUGAUAAAGUUUUAUAU